GCCCUGGUGGUCUAGCGGUAUGAUUCUUCCUUAGGGUUGUUGCCUAUUCAUCAACUUGGAAGAGGUCCCAGGUUCGAUCCCUGGCCAGGGCC
rnacentral:tRNA from 1 species